CUUCCACUCUACUCAAGAUCCUUUCGAAUAUCCAAGAGAUUAUUGAAGAAUCAAGACUUUUAUUCGUUCCUACCGUUUAUUUCGUCCAAGAGAGGUAAAAAUUCGUGCGUAAAGCGUGAUAUCAAAGGAAAAGCGAAACUUGAAAUCUAAAGGAUCGAGGUUGAGCGGCGACGAGCGGUUGGCGGUGUUGAGCAAAU